UUUAUGGAGAGUUUGAUCCUGGCUCAGGAUGAACGCUGGCGGCGUGCCUAAUACAUGCAAGUCGAGCGAACGGACGAGAAGCUUGCUUCUCUGAUGUUAGCGGCGGACGGGUGAGUAACACGUGGAUAACCUACCUAUAAGACUGGGAUAACUUCGGGAAACCGGAGCUAAUACCGGAUAAUAUUUUGAACCGCAUGGUUCAAAAGUGAAAGACGGUCUUGCUGUCACUUAUAGAUGGAUCCGCGCUGCAUUAGCUAGUUGGUAAGGUAACGGCUUACCAAGGCAACGAUGCAUAGCCGACCUGAGAGGGUGAUCGGCCACACUGGAACUGAGACACGGUCCAGACUCCUACGGGAGGCAGCAGUAGGGAAUCUUCCGCAAUGGGCGAAAGCCUGACGGAGCAACGCCGCGUGAGUGAUGAAGGUCUUCGGAUCGUAAAACUCUGUUAUUAGGGAAGAACAUAUGUGUAAGUAACUGUGCACAUCUUGACGGUACCUAAUCAGAAAGCCACGGCUAACUACGUGCCAGCAGCCGCGGUAAUACGUAGGUGGCAAGCGUUAUCCGGAAUUAUUGGGCGUAAAGCGCGCGUAGGCGGUUUUUUAAGUCUGAUGUGAAAGCCCACGGCUCAACCGUGGAGGGUCAUUGGAAACUGGAAAACUUGAGUGCAGAAGAGGAAAGUGGAAUUCCAUGUGUAGCGGUGAAAUGUGCAGAGAUAUGGAGGAACACCAGUGGCGAAGGCGACUUUCUGGUCUGUAACUGACGCUGAUGUGCGAAAGCGUGGGGAUCAAACAGGAUUAGAUACCCUGGUAGUCCACGCCGUAAACGAUGAGUGCUAAGUGUUAGGGGGUUUCCGCCCCUUAGUGCUGCAGCUAACGCAUUAAGCACUCCGCCUGGGGAGUACGACCGCAAGGUUGAAACUCAAAGGAAUUGACGGGGACCCGCACAAGCGGUGGAGCAUGUGGUUUAAUUCGAAGCAACGCGAAGAACCUUACCAAAUCUUGACAUCCUUUGACAACUCUAGAGAUAGAGCCUUCCCCUUCGGGGGACAAAGUGACAGGUGGUGCAUGGUUGUCGUCAGCUCGUGUCGUGAGAUGUUGGGUUAAGUCCCGCAACGAGCGCAACCCUUAAGCUUAGUUGCCAUCAUUAAGUUGGGCACUCUAAGUUGACUGCCGGUGACAAACCGGAGGAAGGUGGGGAUGACGUCAAAUCAUCAUGCCCCUUAUGAUUUGGGCUACACACGUGCUACAAUGGACAAUACAAAGGGCAGCGAAACCGCGAGGUCAAGCAAAUCCCAUAAAGUUGUUCUCAGUUCGGAUUGUAGUCUGCAACUCGACUACAUGAAGCUGGAAUCGCUAGUAAUCGUAGAUCAGCAUGCUACGGUGAAUACGUUCCCGGGUCUUGUACACACCGCCCGUCACACCACGAGAGUUUGUAACACCCGAAGCCGGUGGAGUAACCUUUUAGGAGCUAGCCGUCGAAGGUGGGACAAAUGAUUGGGGUGAAGUCGUAACAAGGUAGCCGUAUCGGAAGGUGCGGCUGGAUCACCUCCUUUCU
rnacentral:rRNA from 1 species